GUAUCCUUCGCUGUCAUUCUGUUGUACUGCGGAGCUUCUGUCACGAAAACAAAUUCCUCGUAUGUGUAAACCAGAGCCGUUAAAUAUGAGAGUUGCGACACUCUUUGAUCUCGCCGCCACGCUGUCACGUGGUUUAUGUAGCUCUCAAUAGUUCCAAACAACUCCGCGGUGUCAACCAGUUUGAAUGGUUUUAAGCGGGACAGACAGGCUUCAACUAUAUUUGCAGCAAUUAUAGGAAUUGGCCAGCCACUUCGGACCAGACUUCUCCAGACGAUAGAUGGAUGUACUAGGGUCCCAGUUUUCUGCAGCUCGGAGCUGAUGGUACUGCUGGACAUCUUCUAAUUGCAGGGCAAAGCUUGGGCAGCACAUCUGAAGCAGCGCAUCCGUCUUGUGUCUUGUUGCUGCGUCUUGCCGUGGUAUAUGUUUUUUUUUUGGCUGUUCCUCACCCAGUUCUGUUAAUGUUAAUAUUACUGUAUAUAUUGUAUUUAAAUUUUUAUUUUGAUGCUUUGGAAAUGUUCUUAUAACGUUUAUGCCAAUACA